AGUGGGAUCCUUGAAAGAACAGCAUCUUCGGGAUUCAGCUGAUUUAAAAACUCUUCUCAGUAAGGCAGAAAACCAAGCAAAGGAUGUGCAGAAAGAGUAUGAAAAGACACAGACUGUACUCUCAGAACUGAAGUUGAAGUUUGAAAUGACUGAGCAGGAAAAGCAGUCAAUCACAGAUGAGCUCAAACAGUGUAAAAACAACCUGAAGCUGCUCCGAGAGAAAGGAAAUAAUCCUUCCAUAUUACAACCCGUCCCAGCCGUAUUCAUCGGCCUAUUCCUGGCUUUCCUGUUUUGGUGUUUCGGUCCAUUGUGGUAGAGAAAGGUACAAGCACUAUUGUUGAGUCCUUGUCUGUUUGUCCCCGUCACCUUUUUGUGCCAUAUUUGUAAUAUAGUGCAUGGCAAGAACACACAGGUAUUUUGUUACCUGAAGCAAACCCUUCAUUUAGUAUGCCGUGUAUUUGUGUUAUACCAGUGAACUGAACAGUCAACUAAUCCCAUAACUUUUUGUCUUGUUUACUUUGUAGUAAUGCUAACCAUGAGUUAAUUCCAACCUAACCAGUUGUUAAUAUGCUUCCAAUAACUGAGUCUUUAUCUCUAGCAAACUGGAGUGCACUAUGAAUUUCUGCAAUAUUAGUACCCUCUUUCCAGUUAUGUGUUUAAUCAGAUUUGAAUGAGAAA
rnacentral:sRNA from 1 species